rnacentral:rRNA from 1 species
GUGCCAGCCCGGUAAUACGAAGGGGGGCUAGCGUUGUUCGGAUUUACUGGGCGUAAAGCGCACGUAGGCGGAUCGUUAAGUCAGGGGUGAAAUCCUGGAGCUCAACUCCAGAACUGCCUUUGAUACUGAGGAUCUUGAGUUCGGGAGAGGUGAGUGGAACUGCGAGUGUAGAGGUGAAAUUCGUAGAUAUUCGCAAGAACACCAGUGGCGAAGGCGGCUCACUGGCCCGAUACUGACGCUGAGGCACGAAAGCGUGGGGGAGCAAACAGG